rnacentral:lncRNA from 1 species
AAAAAUACGAGCCCCGAACGGAGGUAGGAGCCUGUUUGGUCCAGGGGAGCUUCCCAAAGACGAUCAGCUGGUGUGAGCUGCCCUGCACUGCUCCGAGCCGCGGCAGCAGCGCCCGAGCCGCAGCAUCCCGAGCUGGGCUGGGGAUGAGGCAGCGCAGGUACCUCGGGUACCACCCCGCAAACAUCCCUGCCCUGCCCUCCUCUGUGACAGGAGUGACAGUCUGAGUGAAAGGAAGGCACCUCCGAGGUGAUUACGACAGAGUAAAAACUCCUUCAUCUCUGCUGCUGCAGCGUCACCUCGCUACAAAAAGUCCAGUGCUCUUGAGGAACAAGAAACCACCCAAGCUUAACCCACCAAAAAGAAAGGUUACUGAGUCUCUGCUGAAACCUCAAGGAGGAGAGCCUGUCCCCAGCUGGAGAAGCAGCAGGGAGGAGGUUUAUUGCAGAGUAUGAAAAUCAGGAAGCUUUUUGUUCACUUCAUACAUUUCUUCCAACAAAGCCAGACAUCCGAACCCGGCACAGACUCCAGAG